GGAAAAACUCACAUUCUCUGUAUUCAUUUACUAAGAACAUUUACUCUUUCUCUUAGUCCUGAUUGUCCCUAUUCUUACUUAACCACAGAGUGCCAAGUGGGGAAACCCCUUGGCCCUUUAACUCUAUGUCGCCUUGCAGAUUGUGUAGUCAUAUAAAAUCCUACAGACCAGACAAGUGCCCAAAAGUAGUCGUACAAGUCUUGAAGGGCACCGUAUUUCACUUAACCAGCUUUGGUAGAACCCAGACUUAGUGUCCUCAUGUCAUUCAUCUAAGAUAUCAUCCGUAUCAGCAGUUAUCAAAAUCUAACACAUUAUUAUACUCAUUCCUACUCUCAACCAUGAAUGCGACGGUUCACGUGAUGCAGCUUUACAAUCCAAAUGACUAAAAUUAAGUCUAGUCUAAAAUUAUAAUUACAGAAAGGAAAAAAAAAAUAUAAG
rnacentral:misc_RNA from 1 species